GACAGAUGGUUUUCCGCUUGUAUAUGUAUUGAUGGAUUGUUUACGUUUUGCAUGGUCAAUAUUUGGUGGAGAUCAAUUUGGCUGUCAAAACGGGCUUAUAACUUGACCUGAUAUCUUUACGGUCCUUGGAUACAACCAACCCAAGCGAAUGAAAAUGGCACUUUUCGGCUGUGUUUUCGAUUGACUUUUCGUGCACGAUUUGACCAACGAAAUAGUAUACGAGAUUCAGACUUUUUUCGGCACAUAACCACAACCGCGUGCAAUGGCAUAUUUGCUAUCUUCAUCGCACGUCUAGCGUUAGACAUUUUGAGGUUAAAUAGUUUUCACAUUGUUGGUUUUUAUAUGAAUGAUACGAUACGAAAGAACACAACUGAUUUAAAUACAAACUAAACAUAAUACACAAAAAGAAAUACACAUAACCUGCAUUAACGCUUGGCUUGGAAAGCGAAAUGGUUCGAAAGGAAGAACCACACAUACA